AAUGGAGGAAACUCUGAUGCAGCGACGCCGCGUGAGUGACGAAGGCCUUCGGGUUGUAAAGCUCUGUUCUCUGGGAAAAAGCAAGUGAUUGUACCAGAGAAGAAAGGACCGGCUAACUUCGUGCCAGCAGCCGCGGUAAGACGAGGGGUCCAAGCGUUGUUCGGAAUCAUUGGGCGUAAAGCGGGUGUAGGCGGCUCUAUAAGUCAGAAGUGAAAGCCCCAGGCUUAACCUGGGAAGUGCUUUUGAUACUGCAGAACUUGAAUGUGGGAGAGGGUAGUGGAAUUCCUGGUGUAGUGGUGAAAUACGUAGAUAUCAGGAGGAACACCGGUGGCGAAGGCGGCUACCUGGCCCAACAUUGACGCUGAGACCCGAAAGCAUGGGGAUCAAA
rnacentral:rRNA from 1 species